CGUCUUGAAACACGGACCAAGGAGUCUAGCAUGUGCGCGAGUCAUUGGGAAUAACUAAACCUAAAGGCGUAAUGAAAGUGAAGGUUCGCCUAGCGCGGACCGAGGGAGGAUGGGCGAUCCACGUUUUCCGUGCCGCCCCGCACUCCCGGGGCGUCUCAUUCUCAUUGCGAGAAGAGGCGCACCAAGAGCGUACACGCUGGGACCCGAAAGAUGGUGAACUAUGCCUGGUCAGGACGAAGUCAGGGGAAACCCUGAUGGAGGUCCGUAGCGAUUCUGACGUGCAAAUCGAUCGUCGGAACUGGGUAUAGGGGCGAAAGACUAAUCGAACCAUCUAGUAGCUGGUUCCCUCCGAAGUUUCCCUCAGGAUAGCUGGCGCUCGUCGCCUACGAGUCUCAUCCGGUAAAGCGAAUGAUUAGAGGCAUUGGGGUCGAAACGGCCUCAACCUAUUCUCAAACUUUAAAUGGGUGAGAUCUCCGGCUUGCUCGAACUUAUGAAGCCGCGAGACACGGAUCAGAGUGCCAAGUGGGCCAUUUUUGGUAAGCAGAACUGGCGCUGUGGGAUGAACCAAACGCCGAGUUAAAGCGCCUAAAUCGACGCUUAUGGGAUACCAUGAAAGGCGUUGGUAACUUAAGACAGCAGGACGGUGGCCAUGGAAGUCGGAAUCCGCUAAG
rnacentral:rRNA from 2 species